rnacentral:rRNA from 1 species
UACGUAGGGUGCGAGCGUUAAUCGGAAUUACUGGGCGUAAAGCGUGCGCAGGCGGUUCGUUGUGUCGGCGGUGAAAGCCCCGGGCUUAACCUGGGAAUGGCCGUUGAAACUGGCGAACUGGAGUGUGGCAGAGGGGGGUGGAAUUCCGCGUGUAGCAGUGAAAUGCGUAGAGAUGCGGAGGAACACCGAUGGCGAAGGCAGAUCUCUGGGCCGUUACUGACGCUGAGGAGCGAAAGCGUGGGGAGCGAACAGG